UUGAUAGUACCUUACUACUUGGAUAACCGUGGUAAUUCUAGAGCUAAUACAUGCUGAAAACCGCAACUUCGGAAGGCGUGUAUUUAUUAGAUAAAAAACCAACGCCCUUCGGGGCUUCUUGGUGAUUCAUGAUAACUUUACGGAUCGCAUGGCCUUGCGCCGGCGACGGUUCAUUCAAAUUUCUGCCCUAUCAACUUUCGAUGGUAAGGUAUUGGCUUACCAUGGUUUCAACGGGUAACGGGGAAUUAGGGUUCGAUUCCGGAGAGGGAGCCUGAGAAACGGCUACCACAUCCAAGGAAGGCAGCAGGCGCGCAAAUUACCCAAUCCCGACACGGGGAGGUAGUGACAAUAAAUACUGAUACAGGGCUCUUUUGGGUCUUGUAAUUGGAAUGAGUACAAUUUAAACCUCUUAACGAGGAACAAUUGGAGGGCAAGUCUGGUGCCAGCAGCCGCGGUAAUUCCAGCUCCAAUAGCGUAUAUUAAAGUUGUUGCAGUUAAAAAGCUCGUAGUUGAAACUUGGGUCUGGCUGGCAGGUCCGCCUCACCGCGUGUACUUGUCCGGCCGGGCCUUCCUUCUGGAGAACCUCAUGCCCUUCACUGGGCGUGUUGGGGACCAGGACUUUUACUUUGAAAAAAUUAGAGUGUUCAAAGCAGGCCUUUGCUCGAAUACGUUAGCAUGGAAUAAUAGAAUAGGACGUGCGGUCCUAUUUUGUUGGUUUCUAGGACCGCCGUAAUGAUUAAUAGGGACAGUCGGGGGCAUCAGUAUUCAAUUGUCAGAGGUGAAAUUCUUGGAUUUAUUGAAGACUAACUACUGCGAAAGCAUUUGCCAAGGAUGUUUUCAUUAAUCAGUGAACGAAAGUUAGGGGAUCGAAGACGAUCAGAUACCGUCGUAGUCUUAACCGUAAACUAUGCCGACUAGGGAUCGGGCGAUGUUCUUUUUCUGACUCGCUCGGCACCUUACGAGAAAUCAAA
rnacentral:rRNA from 1 species